rnacentral:rRNA from 1 species
CACGUAGGUGGCGAGCGUUGUCCGGAUUUACUGGGCGUAAAGAGCGCGCAGGCGGCUGGUCAAGUCCGAUGUGAAAUCUCCCGGCUUAACUGGGAAACUGCAUUGGAAACUGAUCGGCUUGAAGAUGGGAGAGGGUAGUGGAAUUCCCGGUGUAGUGGUGAAAUGCGUAGAUAUCGGGAGGAACACCAGUGGCGAAGGCGACUACCUGGCCCAUUCUUGACGCUGAGGCGCGAAAGCUAGGGGAGCAAACGGGAUUAGAUACCCCCGUAGUCC